GAGAUUGUGGCUCAGUGGUAGAGUGCUUGCCUAGCAUGCAUGAGGCACUGGGUUUGUUCCCCAGCACCACA
rnacentral:tRNA from 1 species